GCGCCGUCUGAGCUCCGCCCACAGAGAGGGUAACACUGCCCACCUCCCACGCGGGACCGCUUUCCCGGCCCAGGGCAGGAGCAGCCGCCUCGGUGCCCGGGCAGCACGCGCGAGCACACACUGGCGUGGUUACGAUCCCGCCCGCCCGAGAUCCUGGGUCCAGAGCACCGUGGGUGUUGGGCCGUGGAGCGCAGCAGCAAGGCCCCGUGUGGGACCGGGGCAUCUUUUCUUGGGCCGCUCGCUUGGGCCUCGGGGACCUCCAUUCCCACAGCCAAGGUCUGACUUCUGGAUUCAACCCGAUUUGUCUCAUUAUAAAAAUUAAAUAAGGGGCAGAGCAGGAUCCUCUGCCGCGAACAAAACGACUUCCCAAGGAAAGGCCAUCAAAGUGCCCCCAGGGCCAGCCCUGGGGUCCUGAAGCCAGGACCCUACUGUUACAGUUAACACGGUUGUUCCAUCGGGUGACAAGUUGUCGAAGCCCCCAAAAGAGUGGGACGGGGAACGGCCUGGUCAAGUCUCAUUAGGGCUGGGCCAGCUUGGGCCACGCAUGCUUAGAUUCAAGGCCCAUGUUCCCUGCGGAAACAGUUUCACUCCUGCACUGCCGGAGUCCUAGACCCUGGGCUGGGGCAGCAGGGGUCCCUCGGCCCCUCCUCCUCCUACCGGUGAGCACACUUCUGUCUGGGUCUCUGUCUGAAUCGCAUCUUCCUCUUUGAGUGACACCGAUCGCUGCACCGGGAGUCCGCAGGCUCAGCCUGGCCUCCUCUUAACUUGGUCGUGCUUGCAAGAGUUCUGCUCCUAAUGUGGUCACUGUCCAGGGGUCCAGGCUCAGACUUGAACUUGUGUUUGGAGAUCAGGGGACAUUUAAGGCCAUUACACUGCCGACUGCAGGCUGGAGCCCUCUGGUCUGAGGUGUUGGAUACAGAGAAGGAAGAGCUUCCCGUGUCCUUCAUGGGCUCUGCCAACGGAGGCCUGGGCCCAGGAGGACCCAGUUCGCUGCGUUCACGGUGCUCUGACAGCCAGGCCCUCUGCUGAAGGCCAGACCCUCAGAUUCCAGUCCAGCGAAGCCUGCCAAGUAGGUGACACUCCAUCCCAUCUCAGGAGCAAGGGAACAGGACCAGAAAGGGUUGGGUGCUUCUGGAACGUUGCACAGCAGAGAAGAGACUUCACCUGUGAGUGGUUUUAGGGCUUCAAGAUGAAGGGUCCCCCAAAGACUCAUGUAAUGAAGGCUUGAGCCCCAGGGCUGCAUGUUCCGAAGAGGGGCCUGGAAAGGUGGCUGAUCAGGAGCCCACACAUCGGCGAGCUCAGAGGUCCUUCUGCCAUGCUGUUCCUGCCUUGGACUGAGCCCUCCGAAACCACGAAGCCACAAUGGACCCCUCCUCCUUAAAGCUGUACACGUCAGGUGCUACGUGCUGGCGGUGGAAAGGUGACGCUACCAGUGCCAGUGCAUCUUACCUGAGGCCUGAAGCCCCGCCAGGGCCCUGGCACUCCUCCUACCCUUGAGCUGCAGGGCGAGAACAUGAGGAGCAUCCACGGCCCUCCUCGCCCUCCCUCUCCAACCGCUGAUGCCGUUCCCCCAGCAGGCUUCUCACAUGAGGUAUUGGGAAGGCACAGACCACUUCUGUCUGCUCCUGGUGGCAGCCUCCAGGGUCACCCUGGGCAGGUCUGGGGCACCCAGGCACAGAAGGGGCUCUGGAACCGUCUGAACCACUGUCCUGGGGCCACCACUUCCUGCACUCUUCUGUCUGCGCUGCUGUGGCCCCUCCCUUCCCCAUACCCCUGACCCUUGACCUCUGACCUCUGACUUCAGGACUAGAGGUCACUGCCUGCAGGGCCAGCUUGCUUGGCCCUGUUUGGCUACAAGCUGGAGGGACUGUGUCCCGAUUUGUGGUUUCCCAGAGGCCUAACCUGUGAACUCAAACUGGAAACAGGUACUAGGAACUGCAGCAGGAGCUGGGUAGCAGGCCAGUGGCCAGGCCCGCACGGACUUUCCUGUCCCUCAUGCAGUUUGGCCUCCUCACCUGAUGUCUGGAGGUGACAACCCAGGACUCUGCUCCCAGGAGCUGUCCUGUCUCUGCCUCCCCACCCGCCUACCGGCCAUAACCCGGCACCCCGUCCCAGCUGCCUCUGAGAGCCACUUAGGGGCUGAGCCAGGGACCCUCGUCCUGUGCCACCCCCAAGCCCAUGGUUCACACUGAAGGCUUCGCGUGGACCCCAGGCCACCUCAUCCCGAGACGGGGCUAGUGUGGGGACUCACUCAGCCCAAGAAGGGUGCAGGGGAGUCUAGCAGCCCAGGAAACGGGGAGGGGGGCUUACCCUCUGAUGGGAGCCUCCUGCCUUUGCCUCGGGCCCAGCCCUGCCCCUGGAAGAGCCUCAGUUGUUCUGCUGGGGGUUGGGGGUGCCAGGAAGGUCCGAGCCCGCCACCCUGGCUGGGAAGAGACUCCCCCAUCCUGGAGGCCCUCUGUCCCCACAGGCCAGCUCAGGGACGGAGCUCAGGGAGGGGGCCCCUGGGCACCAUGUCCUUGGGGGGCGCCGUGCCCUGGGGGUGGGGUCCCCCGUGUUGCCUGGGCUGGCUGUGCGGGGUUAGGGAGGACCCGCAGGCCAUCCGUCAGGGAGACAGCGGCCAGUGCUGCCGGAGGAGGGAGCCGGGAAACUUGAUCAUUGAGAACACUCCUGGCUGUCUGGGGGAAUUUAAUUAAAUCGCAGGGAGGCUGCGAGAGCGGCCACAUCUGGAACCAAUAUGCAGGCUUCGAUUCUUCCCCUCCCGGCUGCGAACGGGAAUCCGGUGGGGCCCUGGGAGAGCAGCGUCCAGCGGGAACGGGGCUCCCAGCCAUCGGACGGGAAGGGGAGA